rnacentral:rRNA from 1 species
GAUAGAGGAUGCAAGCAUUAUCCAGAAUGAUUGGGCGUAAAGCGUCUGUAGGUGGCUUUUCAAGUCCGCCAUCAAAUCCCAGGGCUCAACCCUGGACAAGUGGUGGAAACUACCAAGCUGGAGUACGGUAGGGGCAGAAGGAAUUUCCAGUGGAGUGAUGAAAUGCAUUGAGAUCGGAAAGAACACCAACGGCGAAAGCACUCUACUGGUCCGACACUGACACUAAGAGACGAAAGCUAGGGGAGCAAAUGGG